GAACGUCGGAUUAAUUGUAAGUUAAGGUGGGGCCCACACAUCAAGAUUUUUUUUUGGGACAUGUGACAAAUUAUAUGAAUCACAUAUGUGAAGUUAAACACAACUCAUGAAGUACCCUUGGUCCAAAUCAAAGUGGAAGCCCUCCAAACGAAUAUUUUUAUGAAAACGUUUUCGGAUGACCUGACUUGGAGGGGCAAAAACGGUAUUAUAAGUUUGGAAUUUGGAAAUAUACCAAGAAAUAGAAGUUGUAGAUAAUUGAAUUAGCUUUCCAUCCAUAGGUCGUGGGUUCCAAGGUGACGUCGGUACAAGGAGAUAUGAACGUUUUAAGGUCGAAAGGUCAGUGGGCUAGGCCCAACUCGGGACCAACCGAAUUGGCCCAAAAAAAUGAAAAGAAAAAUUCAGGCCCAAGUGAGGAGGUGGCCGGCCAUGGUCCUUAAUAAAGGACCCAAGCCCAUUUAAAUUAGUCAUGUGAUUAAUAAUAAAAAGGGGCUAAGUCUUCAUUUUCAACCAAGAACAUUCAUGAAGCAAAGAAGAGAAAAACAAACACAAAGAAGAGCAAAAAUAAGGCCAUUUCGGGUUUGGCCAUAGAAAAAUCACCCCUCAAAAUCUUGCCUCUAAAAUUAUUUUCUUGUUGAAUUCCUACUAAAUUAAGUGUCCUCUACAACUUGGUGUAGUUGUUUUGGAAGAAGGAGCACUUAUUUCUUCAAGUUGACAACUUGUUCAAGUGAAGAAGUUUGUAGAAAAAGAUUUUGGGCGAAACGGGAAUUGAAUUUGGAAAGGCGUAAAGAGCAUACAAGGUACAGACUACAGAUUUGCUGACCCACCUGCCUAGGACACCUAUUCUGCUAUUCUGGAGCGCUCUUUUGUCCAGAGCCUAUACUCUGGUACAGUCUGCUGCUGUUGGAUAUAUGUACGCUAUUCAGGGGUACGACGGGGCCCUGUCCCGUCUUAUGAUUCUGUUAUGUUCUGUAGAGGUCUGUAGACAUACAUGUGGGUUCUGUAUAUGUUUUGGGUUGCUAUGAUUUGUGAUAGCCUUAUCGGCUUCCAUGUGCUAUAUA